UACGAAGGGGGCUAGCGUUGCUCGGAAUCACUGGGCGUAAAGCGCACGUAGGCGGAUCGCUAAGUCAGGGGUGAAAUCCUGGAGCUCAACUCCAGAACUGCCUUUGAUACUGGCGAUCUUGAGUCCGGGAGAGGUGAGUGGAACUGCGAGUGUAGAGGUGAAAUUCGUAGAUAUUCGCAAGAACACCAGUGGCGAAGGCGGCUCACUGGCCCGGUACUGACGCUGAGGUGCGAAAGCGUGGGGAGCAAACAGG
rnacentral:rRNA from 1 species